AACUGUAUAACUUGGGUAAAACAGUUUGGGUUUCCAUCCACAAGAUUCUGACAAUAGUUCUGUCCCAUUCCUCCUGACAGAACUGGCUUAACUCAGUCAGGUCUGUAGGCCACCCUGCUCUUUCAUGCCUUUUCAGACCUGCCCACAAUUUCUCCAUAGGGUUGAGAUUAGGCCUUUUUGAUGGAGACAGAAAAACAUUAACUUUGUUGUCUUGAAACCACUUUGUAACCUCUGGAACUCUGGAAGAAUCCCUGCCCAAGUUUGAACUUUCUGGCUGAUGUCUUCAGUUGCUGUUUCAAUAAUUCUACAUAAUAUUCUUUCCUCAUGGUGUUACCUAUUUUAUGAAGCCCACUAGUUCCUCCUGCCGCUAAACCAGUCCUAUAACAUGAUGCCGCCACCACCAUACUUCACAGUUAGGAUGGUGCAAGUAUCCCUGUUCUUCCACCAAAUGUAACAAUGGUCAUUGUGGCAAUCAAACCACAGGACAUGUCUCCAAAACUGAUCUAUGUGUCUGUGCUUUUGCAAACUGUAAUCUGGCUGUUUUACAUGUGUUUUGGAUUAAUGGCUUCCUCUGCACUGAGUGGCCUUUCAGUCAAUGUUGGUACAGGACAUGUCUCACUAGCUUCGACUAGCAUCUUCACAAGGUCUUUGGCUUUUGUUCUGGGGUCAAUCUGCAUAUUUCGAAUCAAAAUACAUGUAUCUCUGGGACACAGAAUCAAUCUCCAUCCUGAGAGCUAUGACAGACAUUCCCAUCGUGUCUAUGCUUGCAUGUAAUUGUUUGAACACAUAAAUGCGGCGCCUUCAAGCAUCCCCCGAGGGAUAAACCAGAGUUGUUCAGCUUCAAAAUUCUCUUCCUGAUAUCUUAGCUGAGUUUCUUUAACUUUCAAGUCUUGUCAAACAACAAAGCAGUUUGUUCCAGGUGUGGCCCUAAAAAUACAUCCACAGGUCAGCCUUCAAUUUACUCACGUGUGUCAGUUAACCUAUCAGAAGUUUCCAAAGCCGUGACAUCAGCACCUUGGCUUUCCCUUGUUGCUUAGCCCCUUAACUGUCACCCUCAAAAUGCUUACAAGUAAGCCAAUGUGUCCAUGAGGACAUUGGUGUCAUCAUUCAUGACAGUUAAGAGGGUUAAAGAGUCAGCAAUCAUAUUGUAUGUAAACUCAUGAUUUUGAAGAUAUUAAUAAUUGAAUCUCUCUCAUUUUGUGUCUUUUUAUUCAGUGUACGUAAACUCCUGGUUUCCACUGUAAGAGAAAGAAAUCAGCGAUGGUCAGCGUCUGCGUGUUGACGGACAGAAGGCACGCUAUCCUGCAAUGCAACGAAUCAGCCACAAGGAGGGACUGCAGUAUGAGUAAAUCACCACAGCAGGUACAUGUUGCAGGACCAACAGACUUGUGGGGCCCAAAGGAGGAGCAUGACUGAUAAAAGAGUCCGGCGUGGGAGUGCUAGUAAACAGGUGGCAGAUGUAGCAGAAUCCAGGAGGGUGCGGGAGGGGGAGAGGAAAGACGAAAGAGAAGAACAGCAUAAUUCGAUACCAGCCUGCAGAGAGGACAGCAAGGGAUGAGGGAGGCGGCCAAGAACGAGGGAAUAUGCUACAUGUAGGGCGGGGGCUCAUUUAGGAAUGAUUGCUGUGAGCCUCCAGCAUACACUUGUGCCUGUCCAAACAUUUAUCUUGUCACACAACCCGACAGAAAUAUUCAGAGAAGAAGCACAGAGGACUUCAGGUGUGAUUACCUUAAUAACCUUUAAUUUAAAAAUAAUAAUAAUAAAUAAACAUUUUUUGCAGUACAAGAUUUAAUGACAAUGACUUCCAAAGAAUAAAAAUGCCACAACUGAUCAUUCAUAAUUUAAAGUCGUGUAAAAAGAGAAAACGUUUCACCUGAAUGUUGGCACUGAAGGUGCUAAACAUCCAUAAAGUGUGUCGUAACCCUUCAUAAAUGCAAUAAACUGCAUGUAGACAGCAGCUUGUACAUUACACAAACAGCAUUGUUAUUUACAGAGUUCUCCACACAAAUUGCCCUAUAACCCCUUACCCAGCAAGGGUAGGAUUGGGAAAAAAAACAAACAAACAAAAAAAAACUUAAAAUAAAUUCUUAUUUUAAUGUUGCACCAUAAUCUCUCUCACACACACA